CUGUAGACUGCAACAAAUUGGGCCUCCCAGCAUCUGUGCACAGGACAGAACCCUUCUGCUGAGGUGCAGUGAUGAGGCCCCAGGAUCAUGACCAAUCUUACAGUAUAAGGAGAGAGAGGAGAAAAGAGAUCCUGCCCUAAGUACUGAAGCUUCUUUUCCUUGUGUCAGUAGUUUCACUGCUUGUUAGCCUGGUGUAUUUUAACAUCUGGAAAUUCAGUGAGUAUAAGAAAGAUGUACCAAUGAAGACACUGACCAACAUUUGGUGAUGAAUUCAGAGUCUGAUGGAUUGAAUUGAAAAGAACGGUGGGAUCUUCACACCUGGUGUCAUUUCCAUGGCCAGGUGAAGGCAGAAUGAGGACUCUUGAGCCUUGGGUGAGCAGCUGAUCUCUGGUUUGUUGCUGAAGGACACGACUGUCUGGUGCUUGCUACCAGAAGAAAAAAAUAAGAGUAAAAUGGGACUCCAGAAAAUGGUCACCUGUCCAUUCAGCAGAAGCAACAAUGACAUCAUAAAUGGUGGAUGUAGAACCAUGACAUUUGUGGUAACUGCUGCUUUUUCAAGUCUAGAUAAAGCCACAAGCUGAGGUUUGUUUAGCAAAAAAUGACUAUCUCCUCUUAAUAAUAUCCUUGGAUUUCCUGCACCCAGCGGCCAUGAGAUUUGACUCAUUUAUGUGGAGGGCCAUUUGUAAAAAUAUAGAAAUGAAUAAAAAAUAUAAAAAAUAAAAAAGGAUAAAAAGGUAAAUAUUCUCGUUUGAUAACUAGAAAACUGGAAAGCUGCCCAGAUCACUACAUUUACUCUGUAGUUAUUGUUAUGCUCUUUAUCACUUCUGUCUUGAACCCGAUUUUAAACUGAAAAAUGGUAGUAUAAGUCCAGAAUAGCUCCACUGAUAUAGUUAGACAUGUAUAGAUUACUAUGGGUACAAGCUGUUGUGUUUUCAUUUUUCAAGCAGUGUAAAGGUCAGUACUUAGUUACUUCUCCAAAGAGGGUAAUUUAUCUAAUGUUUGAUAGAACUAAUCACUUAAUAGAACAUAAAUGUGAAGUAGGUUGUUAUUAGAUAUAGUUAGGGCAACCGUUUGUCUGGGCUUUCUUCUGUGUGGAAAUUUUGUCUGGGCAGAAUUUAAGAACUUUUGCACAUUGCCUAGGACUCCUGUGUAUUCUGAAAUAUUUCCUGUGCUUCUGAAAGGAAAACCCACACAAAAAUGCAAUGGUACAAAUUAAAUAUUCAUAUUGCAAAGUUUUGUAAAACAAAUCAAAUUUAAAAAGAUGUGACUUAUUGUAAGGAAGUCCCAUAUAAAUGCAAAGUUCUCAGGCCUUAGAUAAUGAAAUAUUAAAAGAAAAAAUAAUCUUUUUUCUCCUUAAAUCAUUUAUUUUUAGAGUUUUCACUGACUUAGUUAAUCCUUAACUUUAUCAUCCUAGUUGCAUAUCUGUGCAGAUGUUACCACAGCCUAUUCAUCUGUAGCACAUGCACUUGAUGAGUCAAACAGACACAGAAUCGUAGAGGUUGGAAGGAACUUCUGGAGAUGGUCUAGUGGAGCUCCCCUGCUAAAGCAGGUUCCUUACAGUGGGGUGGACAGGAAAGCCUCCAGGUGGGUUCCGAAUGUCUCUGGAGAAGGAGACCCCACAACCUCUCUGGGCAGCCUGUUCCACUUCUCUGUCCCCCUCAAAGUAGUUUUCUUUCCUCAAAGUUCAGAUAGAAUGAGAUGUUAAGUUAUGUGGAAAAUAAGCUCAGGAUAGAUAGGUGGGCUGUAGCACACCACCCCACACCAUGAUGUGAACACUGAGUGGAAAUGCGUGCCACAGGACCUAUCCUUAGCAUUAGAAAUAUGUUCUGGAAGAAUCUGGCCUUGUAUUUCAAAGACUGAGUCAAAGGAAACUGAGAUGCACAGACAGGUCAGAGGGCUGUGCAGGUGUUCUUAUGGAAAUACUUUAUAGACCUGCAUAAUUUUCCAUAUAGAGUUUUGUAGCUUAUCAAAAGUGUUCAAGCUUGAAACAUGAAUCUACUGCAUAGACAGUAUAAAUAAAAGUGAAAAUGGAUGAUGUGCUUACCUUGUCCAUUAAAUCUGCUAUUGAGUGGCUACUGAAAUAUUCACUGUGGUCUUGUGGGAAGUAAGAAGUCUCCCAGCUUUGAUGUAUUAACAGCCUCAUCAAUUCAUGUGCCAGUGAUGACCUGCAAACCCUUAUGUUUAAAAACCGAAGAUGAGCUUGUCACUCAAGAAUUUGGCGAAAUUAGUAUUACCUCGUGUAGAUGAAACAGAAGAAAGCUGUUACAUUUUGUAAAAUAUCUUGUAGUCCAAAUAGUAAGAAUAAUGAUUUUAUAAUAACCUCAGCCCAUCAUUAACUCACUAGUAUCACAUCUAUACACAAGAGAAGGGGUGGAACUUGGGAGAAGGUAUUCUGAUGGCAAGAAGAUAAAAUGAUUUCAGGUUAGGCUUAUGAAAUAAAUAAUGCAAUUUUCUUGUGUUUUCUUGCCUGAGAAAUUGAAAAAGUUAGUGAUUUCUUAUUUUCUUUGCCAUGUAAUCCUAUUUUGGUUCUGUCAGUAUCUUAAUGGCCUAUUGAUUGGAUUUUGCUACCUGCUAUGUUUAAAAAAGUAUUAUUACUCUGUUAGGGCAAUCACAAAAAACUAUUUUAAAGAUAUUUUUAAAGUUUUAUGAGUUUUCAGAAGCUUCAUAGAACCUUAUCAAACUCAGAGAUAGCUGGAACUACCUCUACACUGUUCUCUUUUUGUUUCUGAGACACUGAGUUAAUUUGUGGUGUAUGGACUUUUCAGUGAUCUUUGGAAAAAGUGGAGAAACAUUGAGACAAAUCACUGAGGAGAAUUACUUGGAGAUGCCUUAUCUUUUAUGUAAUUGAAACUUACAAGACACUGUGAUGCAUAAAAGUUUUUAAUAUUGAGUCUCAGAGGUAAAGUGGAAUGUGGUAGAGUGUGUUGCAAAUGAGGUGAUCUUGUGUUCAGAAACUGAGACUUUAAGAGCAUGACUGGGCACCCACACUGUAUAUACUGCUCAUUCUGCGUUUCCAUGGAUCAUUAGUCUUAAAAAGAAAAUUCAUCUUCUCCUAAGUCUCUAUAUUUCCUCCAGCUCCUGAUGAUGGAAGAAGCAAAAGAGACCAACUGAGUAAUCUAGAAGAACUUGUGGUCUUCUUCUUCUUUAAUGGCCCUAACCAAAGUGGAAUUCCUUCUGCAGAUCCAUCCUUUACUUCUCUUUUCUGCACCUCAAAGAAAUGAACAUGAAGGGGAAAAAUCAGGUAAUUCCCUGAGGCAUGCUGAAUAGGUGUUACUGAAUAGGUCCCACAAAUGAUCAAGAGAAAUGAGGUUUAAUACAUUUAUUCUGCUUAUUCGUUGUGGUUUCACCUUAACCCGGAUGGACAGCUAAACUCUACCACAGUUGCUUUCCUGAUCCUCACUCUUCCUCUAAAGAGAAAACACAGUGUGAAAGGACUCAAGGUUUGAUACAAUCACCAAUUACCAUCAUGGGCAAAACAGACUCAGCAUAGGGAGAUUAAGGUAAUUUAUUGCAGUGACAGAUAAAAGCAAACUAAAAAUACUUUGUGCCCAUUCACCCUCAUCUUCUUCAUCCCUCUGAGCAGCACAAGGAAAUGGGGCUAUGAUCUGUCUGUAAUGCUUCAUCUCUGCCACUCCCCCAUGGUCACUCUUACCCUAUUGCACAAGGAUCACUCCCACAGAAUAUCAUCUACCUGAUCCUCAUGGGAUUUCUACAUGUGUCAGCUCUCAAAGCACUGCCACAGCAUAGCUCCAUACCACGGGACCCACCCUUUAGGCACUGCUCCAGCACUGCUCCUGGUAGGCACCAGCUCACCCAACAUACCUGUUCCAUCAAAGGCUGCUCCCCAUGGGCUACAGCUCCUACUCAGGACUGCUCCUGUGUGGGCUCUCCAUGGGCUGCAUCCUCCUUCAGGCCUUAUCUGGUACUGCAUCAUGGGCUCCUCCAUUGGCUGCUUGUGGUAUCUAUGGGCUGCAGGAGGACAGGCUGCUCCACCUUGGGCCUCUGCUAAGCUGCACGUAACUUCUGCUCCACACCUGCAGCACCUCUUGCCCCCUUUCUGCUCUGAUUUUGGUGCCUGAAGGGCUGGCUGCUUCUCUCACUUUCUCACUCCUUUUUCCCAGCUCCUGCUGCAUAGCAGUUUUUCUGCUCUUCCAGAGCACAUCCAGAGUGGCUCAUGGCUCAGCUUUGGCAGCAGUGUGUCCCCUUUGGAACAGCAGAGCUGGCUCUUCUCUGCCAUGAGGCAGUGAUGAGCUCUGAUCACAGAGGCCACCCCUGCUGCCUCUUGCUGACAAAAUUUGCUACGUAAAGUUGUUAUCUGUAUCACAGAAAUUACAUCAGUGUAAGGAUGAAUUGAUAAAUUGGAAGCAGUAUUCUCUCCUUUAAUCUUCAUUUUUUCCUAAUAGAGAUUAAUGAAAGUCAUAAUACUUAUGCACAUAAAGGAGAAGUAGAUGGUAGUGCACUUAGCUCUAGUGUAUGGACACUUCUUCCAGCAGAGUAGGAAUUAAAGCAGAUUUGAAAAAGCUACAGUUUGUGGCCCUUUUAAGGCUUGUUUCUGCAGAACUCAUUCCCUCACCUUCUUAUUAACUGCAAAAAAAGCCAGCAAGUCCAUUGACAGAUUUCGAUGUAAAAUCUGGAUAGGUUCCUAGCGAUCUGCCUCUUCUUUCCUUGCUCUGAAAUCCUUGUCAGGAAACUAGAGGGAAUAACCCCAGGAAAUUAUGUCAAAAGCACGAAAGCAGGAGCUACACACUGGUCUGUGAGACUGACACAUGAGAGAAA